AAGCCAAUGAUGAUUAGCUACAUGUUGGAAUUACCGUCAGAUUACCAAAUGACGAUAUUUUAUGCGGCUUUCUGAGGAUGAUU